AAAGACCGUAGUUUUGCAUUGUUUAUAUCCAAUGUUUGACCAUCCGUCUUAUUUGAAAAUUUUUUACCAUUAGUAUUUUUGUUGUUAUUAGAUGAUAAAACAUGAAUAGUACUUUAUGUGUGACUAAUUUUUUUUAUUUUUUUCAAAUAAGAUGGACGUUUAAGAGUUGAACACGGAAACCCACAAUUGCACUUAAA
rfam:Oryza punctata chromosome 9, whole genome shotgun sequence.